UACAGAGGUGGCAAGCGUUGUUCGGAAUUACUGGGCGUAAAGGGUGCGUAGGCGGGUCUUUAAGUCAGGGGUGAAAUCCUGGAGCUCAACUCCAGAACUGCCUUUGAUACUGAGGAUCUUGAGUUCGGGAGAGGUGAGUGGAACUGCGAGUGUAGAGGUGAAAUUCGUAGAUAUUCGCAAGAACACCAGUGGCGAAGGCGGCUCACUGGCCCGAUACUGACGCUGAGGCACGAAAGCGUGGGAGCAAACAGGG
rnacentral:rRNA from 1 species